ensembl:lncRNA
AUCUGCCCAAAAUGGAGCGGAGACCAGGCUCCUCCCCACCUGCCGGCCCUGGUUCCCAGCCCCUAACUCGGCCGGGCCUGCAGAUAGUGCCUCCGUUCGCCCUUCCAGUCAGCUGCGGCCUAACCACCUAACGACAGACAGGCUGAUUUCUAACAUCACAGGUUCGCGUCUAAGAAUGUCGACCCCGAACACAGAACAGGCGGGCCCAUAAGCCCACUGCUCUUUGCUGCGGUGCAGCACUCAGGAGACUGAUAUCGCUCAAGACAUCACCUGUUUAUCAAGUUAAAACUUACUGGAAAUGUUUACUCAUCCAGUGGGACACUCGUGGAGCAAGUUACCUGCAAUCCAAGGUUUCACUGUACGUGAGUUGCAAAUAUUUUCUCCUACUCUGACUUGUGCUCUGUCUAAGCAGUCUUUUGAAGAUUAGAAGCUGUUCAUUUUGGUGAAGUCCAAAUAAUUAAUUUUUUAUUUUAUGGAUUAUCCUUUUGGUGUCUCACCUAAGAAAUCUUUGCUCACUCUCAUGUCAUAAAUAUUUCCUCCUAUGUUUUCUGCUAGAAAUAUUACAAUUUUUUGUCUAUGUUUAGGCCUAAGAGGACACCGGGGGCCUGGCAGGCAACAGGGCCCUGGCCAUCAGCUCCAACAGGGCGCCCCGCUCAUGCACAGACCAGCUACAGUGCCCCAGAGAGAACCCCCGGGGUGGGCAGGACCGGGCGCUCCCAGACAGGCACUCACACAGUGCGCUAUCUCAGCCCAAGCCCCCUUCCCUGAACCUCAGAGCCUGAACUCCUCGGAAAGGUGUCUUCCACGGUUCGGCACUAAGGGGAAACAGCCACGUUGCCCCUUAAGAUCAGUGAAACUGCUCACACUCUUCAAACCAGAACUUCAGAGCGCUCACUCUGCCAGACCCGAGCUGCCCUCCGACGACAGAUAUUAAAACAGUAGAGGCAAAGCCCUUCGGAGCACACAGAGACAGAGAGGUGACGCGCGGUCCGGCCUUCGGGAUGAACUUCCAGGGUGAGAAGCAGCCACGGAGCCUGAGACCCCAGGGGGUGCGCUGAAUGGUACUGGAUUGAUCCGGGCUGCGCUGCAGAAAGGAGGAGGGAAUCCCUCUUCAUCCGUCAGAGGCCAGAGACCUGCAUCAGCCACUCUCUACACACUAAAAUGCCACACUUCUCCGACACGUGGAUACAACCUAGGACGCCCCAGGGUGGCCACGCAGCCCUGGGAGGAGGAGAGCCCUUGGGACACUUGGGCAGGAAGGAUGAGCCCCCAUCACGUUCAGCGGGGAGAGACAUAGGGGCCCUGUGGUUAGUUAGCAAGCUUCAAGGAAAGAUAUUUGAACGCAGAUACUGGAAACAGAACUCCGAAGAGGCCGCAGUAUUUGUUUAGUGAAAUGUUAGGGAUGCGUGAGAGCCUCUGAGUGCUUGUUGGUUCAGAGCUCAGGGCUGAGAGUACGAGGCCGCAUCUGGAUGACGGAAGCUGCCUUCUCCCAAAACAGGGUCGCGGAGGACGAGUCCCGGUGCCUCCCGCUGGCAGGAUGAGGACUCAGAGCAAAGCCGCAGGCCAGGACAGCGUGCAGCACCAGGCUUUAAAGGCUUCCAGGACCUGGAGAUGGACUUCUAGCAAGGUUCCUGCACAAAGAAACCCAACAUGUCAGAGUCGUACUAGACGCUGCGGUAGCUGAGUGCUGGCGGUGACUGAGGCUCACACACGGAAACUACGAUUGGGCUGGGGGGACAGCGUGGGCAAGACCUGAUAGAAGACGCCGUCCGGACGUGGGUCUCAAAGGACAAAGUGCUUCAGCAGGUGAAAAGCGGACAAGGGAAGGUCCAGUGAGUGGAACAGGCCCCCAGGCAGAGUGCAAGUCCUCCACAAGUGCCCCGGGCGCCCUCCAGGGCAUGCCGCCAGUCAGGCCGCAGAGCAAGUCUCAAAAACCUCAAAGACUGCAAUGAUACAAAGUGUACUUCAGGGGAAUACAAGUCAAAAUCUCGAUGAGAUACCACUCUACACACACUGGGAUGCCCGGAAUUCAGAAGGGGGAUCAUUACAAGUGUUACCGAGAACCUGGAGAGCCCUGAACCCUCACACACUGCUGUGUGCAGUAUAAAACCUGCCUGUAAUAUCAGCAGGCAUCGGUACAAAAGGGCAUUUGUGAUGUGUGUAUUUGUAAAUAUACAUACAUAUGCAGAGUCGCCAAAACACGGAUACACGCUUCGGGAAAAGAAACACCGGGAUCAGUAUUUUAACGCCAAAUUUAUUCAGACAUGGUGAGAUGAGUACAAGUCACCUUUGGCCUCCACAGUGACAGGAGGUGCUCAGAGGGGGCCGUGAGCCCCCAGACGCUCAGUGCCCUGAACUGCCGCUCGGGGACCUCGCUCACUGAGAUCGCCGUGUGUGCGUGCAUUUUCACUUUCUUCCCUAAGGGCCGGCAGUGCAGUGGGUUUCCUGCGAUACACGGCAUCCUCUAGGGUCCCUCACACGAGGGUAACACCAUCUGCUGAAAAAACUUCAUAGUUUUCCUUUUCCUGAAGUGUGUAUACAUUUUUUGGUGGACUUUGUAUUUAUUUUUAUUUAUUUGGUACCGGGGAUCAAACUCAGGACCUUGUGUUUGCCAGGCAGGUGCGGUGCCACUGAGCUACAUCCCUGGCCCUGGACUCCAUAUUUCUAAACAAGUUGUGGUUGAUAAAGAUUCUGACAGGAAAUGGAAGAUUAAUAAACACGUUGUAACCAGGCAGGGUGCUGCAUGCCUGUAAUCCCAGCACUCUAGUACAAGGUACCAG